CUACUUCCAAAUCCAACUUCACCACCACAUUGACCACUUCCACAACCACCGACACCACCACCACUACAUCCUCCUUAUCUUCCGCCACCACCACCACAUCCACCCCCACAAGCGCCAUCCCACCACCACCACUAUCACAACCACCAACCCCACUUUCAUCACCACCACCACAUUCACCUUCAUCUCUUUUACCACAACCACCUUCACCUCCAUAUCUUUCAC
rnacentral:lncRNA from 1 species